CAAUGAAAGGAACAACUAGGGCUGGC
rnacentral:piRNA from 1 species